GUCGGAACUUUAACCUCGUUUUGAUGAGAGAGAUCGAAACACGUAUCGAAGAGAGAGUAGUCCGGCGCUCGUUUCAAACUCCUGGCUCUGACCCGGAACGCGUCUCUCAUAGCAACGUAAGCGGGUCGGACCAGCCGGGUCACAGAGGUACCCGAGUCGAUAAUGACUCCACCGUUACCGAUCGGGUCGAGUUUGAAAAGAGAAGCGGCUACGCCGGGGACGCGCGUCCCUCCGACGCUUAUUCCGAGCAGCUCGACGUAGUAGAAUGUAUCAAGCUUCGGAUUCGAUAAGCUAGUUUACUCCUUGGGCAGAUCCUUAGCUUCGUAAUGUUUUGCAGUGUAUCCGAUCUACUCGACUAUAUCAACCCAAGCCAUAACGCAAAAGGGAAACAGAGUGUGGCAGCGAAGAGGAAGAGCUAUAUGAAGGUUUUACUUCUAUUUCUUUCGACAUUUCUCCACUUUAAUGGUUAAAAAUGCUUACAUGAUUGGACCUGUGUUAUUGUGUAGCUAAAGGAAAAAUCCAAUCAGAACGUUGUUUCUGAACAGUUAGCAGAAACCCCAAGGGAAAAUCAAAAGGAAAUGUCUGAAGAGGAGACAGAAGCAACUGGAUCGGAAGAUGGUCAAUCGAGCGAUGCGAAUCAGGAGACAAUUCUUGCAUCAGCUGAAGAACCACCUUCUCCUCCAGUCAUUGAUGAGGCUACUGUGGAUAAUAGUAAUUCAAUUACAUCUGCUGAAGUUUCAACUGAGACACAACACCCUGAUGGUAGUGAAGAUGGAUGGCAGCCGGUGCAUAGACCGAGAUCUGCUGGAUCAUAUGGUCGCCGGCUGAAGCAACGACGAGCAUCAAUUGGAAAGGUAUAUACCUAUCAGAAGAAAAAUGUUGAAGCUGAUAACGAUAACCCUGUUCUCCAGAAUGCUACUCAGCCGAACUCCAAAUACUACGUUCUGAAGAAGCGUACAGCGUCCUCUGCAAACUAUGGAGAUCAUCAUUCUCCCGGUAUGACAACUCAAGGCACCAAAUUUGGCAGGAAGGUAGUUAAAACCUUGGCAUAUCGGGUUAAAUCAAUGCAGCCGUCUUCUGAAAACCCCAAAACUUCAGCUGAAACAUCAGAAGAAGAUGGGUUGAAGACAGAUGCUUCUCCUGCUGUGCCAUCUGGUCUGUCUAGUAAUGUGCAAAAUGAGGCAUACCCGAAAAACUCUGUUGUAAGUCUUGGAAAAUCUCCAUCCUACAAGGAAGUAGCAUUGGCGCCACCUGGUUCCAUUGCCAAGUAUCAAGUCUGGGCUCCACAAGCCGAAGCUUCAGAUAAGCAAGAGGAGAACAAUUCUGAAGAGGGCACAUCGGUUGAGCUUACAAGGGAUGAGCAGAUGAUUACAGUGUCAGAGGAAGAGGUAAAAAAUGAAAUUUCUGCGGACGCAGAGUCUAGCAAACCUCAAGGCAAAGAAGCGAUCAAAGUAGAGUUACAAUCGUCUGAAGUGGAAUUCAAAGGGAACAAUCUGAAUGAAAAUGAAGAAUCUGGUGGGGGCAUUCAGGUGGAAGAACCAGUACUUGAAGCUAACGAAGGUGUAACCGAUAUGAUUCAUUCCACCACAGAGCAAGAAUUGAAAGAUCAGCUGGCCGCUGAUUCCGAUGAUCUGAAGGAAAAACUGGGAAUCUCUGCUACAGACUCCAGCGACGCCCCGCGAGAGUUACUGUUACCUAACAAGAAGUUAUCAGCUUCAGCUGUUCCAUUCAACCCAUCAUCACCUCCAAGUAUCAUACGUCCUACUCCAAUAGGCAUGAAUAUUGGACCGUCGUGGCCAGUGAACAUGACUCUUCAUCACGGACCUCCUCCUUUCCCAUCACCUCCUGCAACUCCAAAUUUGAUGCAGCCUAUGUCCUUUGUAUACCCUCCUCCUUACACUCAAUCAAUCCCCACAAGUACUUAUCCUGUAACCAGUGGUCCUUUCCAUCCCAAUCAGUUCCCAUGGCCUCAUAUGUCGGAGUUUGUACCAAGAACGGUUUGGCCCGCAUGCCAUCCCGUUGAGUUUUCCCCUCCACACAUGAUCGCUCCCGAGCCAAUAGCUUCGACUGUCUUAGAGCCAACCGUCAUUCUACCAACUGAUAUUGAGACUUCAGGUGUGGAAGAAGGCAAGCAAGAUGUGGCGGCAACCGCGGGUGAAACUAUGGAUUCUGUUAAUCAUGUGAAUGUGUUGGCUAGCAGUGAAAUGGAGAAUGGAAACAAGAAAUUUGAGGAAGGCGAGAAGACGUUUAGCAUUUUGUUAAGAGGAAGGAGAAACAGGAAACAAACACUGAGAAUGCCGAUCAGUUUGCUUAACAGGCCUUAUGAUUCUCAACCGUUCAAGAUUGCUUAUAGCAGAGUCAUCAGAGGCAGCGAGGCUCCCAAGUCCGCGGCUUGAAACCAAAGACUCAGCAUCGUCGAUGAAAUUCAUCACUCACACAUCUCUCUCUGAUCCUUGCUGUUUCUUAGGGGACAGUAUAAAAGGUUAGCUUCUUGGUUGAAUCUUUCUAUAUAUAUAUAUAUACACAUGUAUAAUGCAUAUAUGCUAACUUGAUGAUGUCUUCAUUUCAGGUAAUUUCGUUAUCAGUGAAGCUGUGGCUUGUGAUAGUCUCAGAAUGAUUUGAUCUGGAUUCGAAAGAAGAGAGGUUGAAGAGGGAAAAAAGCUAGAACUAUUCUUUUUCUUUUAUUCCAUCUGAGGUGCUGAAGUAUUGUUUUCUGGGUUUUAAUUUUUAAUUCAGCCAAUAAAAAAAUUAGGAAAUUUUGGACAUAAUUUUUUUUCAUAUCCCCUUGUGGCCAUGUUAAAAAAACUUUUGUCAUCUCUUGUUCACUUUUGCGUAUUUGUCAUCAAUUACAUUACAUCUAUCUAAUGGCCUGGCUACGAAAUAUCGUAAUUAUAAUUUAUAAACUUGUUUAUUGAAUCAGUUAUUAGAUGAUAAUACCUCUGAAUAAACCCAAGAUAAGUUUUUUCCAAAAAUAAUAAUAAUACUUCGAAUAAAAAGAAAUAUUAACAACUAAAAAUGCAGAACCAUGGUGUCCUCAGCUUUCGCGCCAUUUUCGAGUUAAAAUGGAUUAACGACAACCGCCGGUGGUUCUUCCCGAAGAAGACCAAUCUGGUCGUGAUAACUUACAAAUGGGUUUUCACCUUCAAAAUUUCCCGGUGGGUUAUAAACACAAAUCGCAUAAAGGCCGCCGUUUGAACAAUCCACACGUGCGCACCCAACCUUCGUGCUAUCUCUCCACACGAUCUGCGUGUAGUGUCCACACAUUUGCCCCGGCUCACACGUGUUACCAUUAACGUCGUAGAACUUAUUUUCAUCGGCCCACACUUUGACGACAUCAAUGGGCCUCCAGUUAUUCUGUCCGGCCCAAAAUAUGUUUUCUCCGAACGGACCAUUAGAGUGAACAAGCCUGCAGUCUCCGACGCGCUGUCUCGCCCACGCACGUGCAUACGCCGCUAAUCUUCCAUCCCAUUCUAACGGCGGUUCUCCCACGCGCGCUCGUACGAGGUUAUGUGCGUAUAGAAACUCAAUGCUCGCUCUGUUUACUUUGUUACGAUGUCGUCUUCUCCCCCACCUGAAGGAGGAAUGUUUUCCGGUUAACGACAGAGCUGAUGAAGACAGAAAUCGUGAAUUUGGCGCUGACGGAGAGCUGACGGAGGUUUGUUUAGACGACUCGCUGUGAUUGAUUUGGGACGUCGCGGCACAGAGCUGAAGGAGGAAUAACGUAAUGGCGAUGAAUAUGGGAAACGGAGCUAGUAAUUCCCGUUGACGAAGCUCCAUUUUUCUAAAUAGAAAAGAAACAAAAGAGGGUAUAAUAUUUUUACAGGAGAGUUAAUUACUCAAUUGCAGGUGAAGGUGUAAUUAACUCUCCGAUAGGAUUUGUUGAGAGGGAAAACGAAUCAAUAAGUAAUUGUUUCUAUUUAUGAACGUCAAAUGUAAAUAUAUCGUUUGCAUGAGUCAACGCACGGUGAAUAUUGAAUACCGGAAUGCCGCUAAUGUUAAGUAUUGCCUAAAUGUGGUUUUAAUUUUAGUCAAAACUUAACAUUAAGGUUAAAGUAAAGGUGAGAUAUUGUUUGUUAUCCAAAAUUUGAUCCGUAAUCUGCAUUGAUCUAUAUAUAUUUCAAAGGUUAUACUAACGAUCGAUGACAACUUUCUGUUCCGAUAAGUUUGACGAUUAUGAAAAUCAUUCGAGUUUCUUUAAUUAAAAAUUGAUGCAAAGUGACUAUUAGCUUAUAUAUAUCUUUGGUAUAGUUUCCUUUAAGCUAACCAUUGGUUUAGUGUGGUUUGGUUUCCUUUUGCUUAACCAUUAGAGUAUAAAUACAUAACAAUGUAUGCUUUCUACGGUUAAUGAGAAAGUUUAUUUUCAUCAUCUUCUUUUCUUCAAUAUGGUAUCAGAGCCAAAAUGGAUCCUCCAUUGAUUCUGUUACUCGAGCUUUCUUCUUCACCAUGAGUGUUUCGAUUUCGCAGUAUCUUUCUGCUCUCUGUACUCGCUACGUGAUUCUUCUGCUCGAGUUUCUGGGAUUCGUUUCGACCGUUUUCUUCUUUGUUGUUCUUCGAUCAAGCAAACUGGUUCAUCAUUCAUUGUUCUGCUUGUGUACGUCGAUGAUAUCUUGAUAGCUUCGAACAAUGAUGAGGAUCUUACGGCACUUAAGAAGAUCUUGCAUAAGGCUUUUAUCAUCAAAGAUUUGGGGAGACCAAAGUUUUUUUUGGGAUUGGAGAUAGCUCGGAACUCUACUGGAAUCUCGGUAUGUCAAAGAAAGUAUGCUCUAGAUAUCCUUGAAGCUACAUGCAUGCUGGCUUGUAAGCCAAGUUCUAUACCGAUGGAUCCAACACUCAAGCUUACUCGCACAUCUGGAAAGCCUUUGAAGAACAUUACUCAAUACAGAGAGUUGAUUGGUCGUCUUUUAUAUUUGACCAUCACCAGACCAGAUAUCACUUAUGCAGUGAAUAAUCUGAGUCAGUUUCUCUCUUGUCCUACUGACGUUCAUCUGCAGGCUGCGUACAAGGUCUUGCGGUAUAUCAAGUCAAAUCCGGGUCAAGGCUUGUAUUAUGCUGCAGAUACAGAGCUCUGUCUCAAUGCUUUUACUGAUGCAGACUGGGCUACUUGUCCUGAAACACGACGAUCUAUCUCUGGUUACUGUGUUUAUCUUGGGACUUCGCUUAUCACAUGGAAAUCUAAGAAGCAACAGACUGUGAGCCGUAGUAGUACUGAAGCUGAAUACAGAAGCAUGGCGUUGGCUACGUGUGAACUGCUUUGGCUUGCUCAGUUACUGAGGGACUUCAAGGUCACAGUUACAGCACCAGCAAAGUUGUUAUGUGAUAACAAAUCAGCUAUGCAUAUCGCUUCUAAUCCGGUCUUUCAUGAGCGUACGAAGCACGUUGAGAUUGACUACCAUACUGUCAGAGAUCAACUGAAGCGGGGGUUCCUGAAGCUCUUUCACGUCUCUUCAUCAAAUCAGCAUGCUGAUAUACUCACCAAGCCUUUGCAUCCGGGACUUUUUCACUCUCUUCUUGCUCGGAUGUCACUUUCAAACCUCUUUAAGCCACAGUCUUAAACGGUUUGAGGGGGGUAUAUUAGCUUAUAUAUAUAUAUCUUUGGUAUAGUUUCCUUUAAGCUAACCAUUGGUUUAGUGUGGUUUGGUUUCCUUUUGCUUAACCAUUAGAGUAUAAAUACAUAACAAUGUAUGCUUUAUACGGUUAAUGAGAAAGUUUAUUUUCAUCAUCUUCUUUUCUUCAAUAGUGACCAUAACUAUUGAACUUCGUUAGAUAUAAUGUCAAGCUAUCACACUACAUCAACCACAGUGGUGAUCUUCGCAAAUAGCCAAAAUAACCACUUCAUCGGUUUGUCCCACAACAUACAGAAAACUCAAUUUACAAAUAAACUACAAUAUCUAACCGAGUGAAGACAACAUUCUAAUAUCUCUUGUUCAAGAUAAUUUGGUGAUAAAGUAGAUUAAACCCAAAAUUACUAGUAGUAGUAUUAAAGAAGUAUUCAACCCAAUAAAAUAAAUAAAAAUCGGACCACUGUCUCUAACGUGGCGCUGGAUCUUCGUUUUUGUCUGUUUAAGAAAUAAUAACACGAAAAUUCAUGUGCCCUAUUAGCCUGUAUAAUACACAUUUCCACAGUACUUUACCAAGAUUUACACAAAAAAAUAUUAAUUAGAUUUUGGACGUACUCUACCUUCCUUAAGAUCUACUAGUAUUGUAGAGUACUAGUUUCUAUAGCAUGGUCUUGAAACUUGUUUUCAUAAUCUUGAUCCGACUUAUUCCGUAAACUUGUUUGCAUAAUAAUCUUUAUAAAUCAAAUAGUAGUAUUAAAAAGUUCCAGUAAUUGUCAUUUGUUGGUUCACUAAAAGUAAAUGAAAGCUUUUGGCUAAUUAAAAAAGAUCAUGCACGCUCCCUUUGGCCCAAGAGUUGAAAAACAUUUAAGACGCUAAUAAUACAGCCGACAACACGUGAAGUUUUAUCAACACGUAUUUAAACUCAACCGCUAAAGAUUCACUUGUCCGAAAAACAAAGGUCUCGUCUAAUACAUGAAAUUUGAAAAAAGGAAACAAAGUACAUUAUCCGUACUGGAUCGGGUCGGGUCAGGAUUAAGCACAUCCUCUUGGAGCAAACCCGACUCGGGAACCCAUCAAAUCGUAAACGACCCGGAAACCCUGCUGCUGGAUGUUCCCGAUGAUGGAUAGCCCGCUCAUCGUACCGGCAAAUGCAAAGCAGAACUUGCCGUUAGUAUCCACCGGAAUCAGAUAAUUAGUCGCCGGAAGUGACACGUCAGCUCCACGGAAGUGUAGAACCACCGUCGGAACUUUAACCUCGUUUUGAUGAGAGAGAUCGAAACACGUAUCGAAGAGAGAGUAGUCCGGCGCUCGUUUCAAACUCCUGGCUCUGACCCGGAACGCGUCUCUCAUAGCAACGUAAGCGGGUCGGACCAGCCGGGUCACAGAGGUACCCGAGUCGAUAAUGACUCCACCGUUACCGAUCGGGUCGAGUUUGAAAAGAGAAGCGGCUACGCCGGGGACGCGCGUCCCUCCGACGCUUAUUCCGAGCAGCUCGACGUAGUAGAAUGUAUCAAGCUUCGGAUUCGAUAAGAGCGGCGUGAACUUCGCGGUUCGCGAAACGGCGGCGUUUCCGAAGACGAC
rnacentral:lncRNA from 1 species